CACCUAACUGGCCUCUUUCCUCUACAGAGGGCGGAAGACCAGACUUCUCAGAAAAAGCCGUGGUUUCUAAGCAGUGGGGUUGGUUGCCAAGCCGCCUUGGUUGUCAGCGUCCUCUCCAAAAACUCCCGUAAAGCCGCGGUGGCGGCGGGGUUGUUUUUCUCCUGGUCAGACGGCGUCACAGCAGGAAGAGAAGCUGGCGCUCCACUCCAGCCCGGCCCUGCUCCCCAAGUCCUGUGGCUGCUCCUGGGGCCUCCAUCCCAGGGACCCGCUCCAUGGCCGCAGCUAAAAUGGGCAUCAGCAGUUGUGCGUCUGACCGGGUGUGUGCUGGUUUCCGGGAGGCCCUUUCCCGCCGCCAUCUGUACCACGGGUUCCCUGCUCCAGCGGUCUGCAGAGGGAUACUUCAGAAACUGGUUACUUAGGACACUGGUACAACUCAGCAGCGAAAGGGCUGAUGUUGGGAUGCUAUGAAUUUAUGAAUUAACUAAACACUUGUCUAAAGAAUUAGUUGUUUUUCUUUUCAAAUAAAGCCCUCCAAAAGGUGCUAAUUGUCUUUUUC
rnacentral:lncRNA from 1 species